rnacentral:rRNA from 1 species
GACGAACGCUGGCGGCGUGCUUAACACAUGCAAGUCGAACGAAGAGCGAUGGAAGCUUGCUUCUAUCAAUCUUAGUGGCGAACGGGUGAGUAACGCGUAAUCAACCUGCCCUUCAGAGGGGGACAACAGUUGGAAACGACUGCUAAUACCGCAUACGAUCUAAUCUCGGCAUCGAGGAUAGAUGAAAGGUGGCCUCUACAUGUAAGCUAUCACUGAAGGAGGGGAUUGCGUCUGAUUAGCUAGUUGGAGGGGUAACGGCCCACCAAGGCGAUGAUCAGUAGCCGGUCUGAGAGGAUGAACGGCCACAUUGGGACUGAGACACGGCCCAGACUCCUACGGGAGGCAGCAGUGGGGAAUCUUCCGCAAUGGACGAAAGUCUGACGGAGCAGCGCCGCGUGAGUGAUGACGGCCUUCGGGUUGUAAAGCUCGGUUAAUCGGGACGAAAGGCCUUCUUGCGAAUAGUGAGAAGGAUUGACGGUACCGGAAUAGAAAGCCACGGCUAACUACGUG